GCUGGGAUGGCUAAGCUGGUACGGCAUGAGACUCUUAAUCUCAAAGUUGUGGGUUUGAGCCCCACAUUGGGCA